AAACCCCAACAGCUAGCCCACCCAAAACAUGCAACAACCCAACAUCAAUAACCCAAUACACACUAACAACUAAAAACAAACCAUUUUUCCCCCCGAGUAUGGGCGACAGAAAAGGAUCAACCCCGGAGCCAUAGAAAAAGUACCGCAAGGGAAAGCUGAAAGAGAAUUGAAAAAACCCAGUAAAGGAAACAAAAGCAGAGAUUUAACCUCGUACCUUUUGCAUCAUGAUUUAGCAAACACCUCCAAGCAAAGAGCACUUUAUGUUUGAAACCCCGAAACUAAGCGAGCUACUCCAAGACAGCCUAUUAUAGGGCAAACCCGUCUCUGUGGCAAAAGAGUGGGAAGAGCUUUGAGUAGAGGUGACAGACCUACCGAGCCUAGUUAUAGCUGGUUGCCUGAGAAUUGAAUAGAAGUUCAGCCCCUUAAUUUCUUCAACCCAACAAGAUAACAUCUCUACGCGGCUAUAAGUAAAUUAAGAGAGUUAUUCAAGAGAGGUACAGCUCCCUUGAAAAAAGAUACAACUUUAAGAGAAGGUUAAAGAUCAAAAGACCAAAAGGAGAUAUACCCAAGUGGGCCUAAAAGCAGCCACCCCAAAUGAAAGCGUUAAAGCUUAAGUACAUAAACCCCAAGAUCCCGACAAAAUCAUCCUACACCCCUUAACUUAUCAGGCCCACCCAUGCAACCAUGGGUAGGAUAAUGCUAAAAUGAGUAAUAAGAGAGCUCAGACUCUCUCAAGCGCACUAGUGUACAUCAGAACGAACCCCCACUGAAAAUUAACGCCCCCAACCCCAGAGGGUAAUGAACAAAACCCCAUAAUACAAGAAAAUCUCUCAAACCCAUAAGCGUUAACCCCACACAGGAGUGCCCCAUGAAAGACAAAAAGAAAAAGAAGGAACUCGGCAAACACCGGCCUCGCCUGUUUACCAAAAACAUCGCCUCUUGCUUACACAAUAUAAGAGGUCCCGCCUGCCCUGUGACCAAAAGUUUAACGGCCGCGGUAUUCUGACCGUGCGAAGGUAGCGCAAUCACUUGUCUUUUAAAUAAAGACCUGUAUGAAUGGCAUAACGAGGGCUGAGCUGUCUCCUUUUUCCGGUCAAUGAAAUUGAUCUCCCCGUGCAGAAGCGGGCAUAAUAACAUAAGACGAGAAGACCCUAUGGAGCUUAAGACACCAGAACAGACUACGUUAAGACACCUAAACAAAAAGGAACAAACCAAAUAGCUACUGCUCCCCUGUCUUUGGUUGGGGCGACCGCGGAGAAACAGACAACCUCCACGUGGAAUGGGCAAACACCCUUAAAACCAGAGCCACAGCUCUAAUAAACAGAAAAUCUGACCAACAAGAUCCGGCAAAGCCGAUCAACGGACCCAGUUACCCUAGGGAUAACAGCGCAAUCCCCUUCUAGAGCCCAUAUCGACAAGGGGGUUUACGACCUCGAUGUUGGAUCAGGACUUCCUAAUGGUGCAGCCGCUAUUAAGGGUUC
rnacentral:rRNA from 1 species